rnacentral:tRNA from 1 species
GCGGGCAUGGCGGAACUGGUAGACGCGCACGAUUUAGGUUCGUGUGAGAUUUCUCGUGCAGGUUCAAUUCCUGUUGCCCGCACCA